rnacentral:rRNA from 1 species
GAUGAACGCUGGCGGCGUGCUUAACACAUGCAAGUCGAACGAAGAAGAGUUGAAUGAGAGCUUCGGCAGGAUUUCUUCUCAUCUUAGUGGCGGACGGGUGAGUAACGUGUGGGCAACCUGCCCUAUACUGGGGAUAACAGUUAGAAAUGACUGCUAAUACCGCAUAAGACCACAGCACCGCAUGGUGCAGGGGUAAAAACUCCGGUGGUAUGAGAUGGAUCCGCGUCUGAUUAGCUAGUUGGUAAGGUAACGGCUUACCAAGGCAACGAUCAGUAGCCGACCUGAGAGGGUGACCGGCCACAUUGGGACUGAGACACGGCCCAG